AAUACCAGCACCCCGAGUGGUCGGGACGAUUAUUGGGCCUAAAGCAUCCGUAGCCGGCCCAGUAAGUCCUCCGUUAAAUCCAACGGCUCAACCGUUGGGCUGCGGGGGAUACUGCUGGGCUAGGGGACGGGAGAGGCGAGGGGUAUUCCCGGGGUAGGGGUAAAAUCCACUGAUCCCGGGAGGACCACCAGUGGCGAAGGCGCCUCGCUAGAACGUGCCCGACGGUGAGGGAUGAAAGAUGGGGGAGCGAACCGGAUUAGAUACCCGGGUAGUCCCAGCCGUAAACGAUGUAGGUCCGGUGUUGGGCUGCCUCAGUGGCAGCCCAGUGCCGCAGGGAAGCCGUUAAGCCUACCGCCUGGGGAGUACGGCCGCAAGGCU
rnacentral:rRNA from 1 species